rnacentral:rRNA from 1 species
GAUGAACGCUAGCGAUAGGCCUAACACAUGCAAGUCGAGGGGCAGCACAUGACGUAGCAAUACAGAUGGUGGCGACCGGCGCACGGGUGAGUAACACGUAUGCAACCUACCUUCCACAGGGCGAUAACCCGUUGAAAAACGGACUAAUAGUCCAUAAUACAGGGAUCCCGCAUGGGAAUAUUUGUUAAAGAUUUUUUCGGUAGAGGAUGGGCAUGCGCUCCAUUAGCUAGUUGGUUGAGGUAACGGCUCACCAAGGCAACGAUGGAUAGGGGAACUGAGAGGUUUAUCCCCCACACUGGUACUGAGACACGGACCAGACUCCUACGGGAGGCAGCAGUGAGGAAUAUUGGUCAAUGGAGGCAACUCUGAACCAGCCACGUCGCGUGAAGGAUGACGGCCCUAUGGGUUGUAAACUUCUUUUAUACAGGAAUAAAGUGAGUCACGUGUGAUUUUUGCAUGUACUGUAUGAAUAAGGAUCGGCUAACUCCGUGCC